UAUAGGGUAGCUCACUGGUUAAGAUGUUGGACUACUGAUCGGAAGGUCAUGAGUUCAAUUCUCAGCACUGACA